CAAAGCAAUGCAGGCACCGACGUCCUGGAAAGCCAAGUAAAACCCUUUCUUGCUGAGAGGCCCCACGUCCCGCACCUCUGUAUUCAGCUUCAUGAUCCUGUCACCAAUGUCCACCUGGGUGAAGCUCUCAUCAGCAGCAAUGGUGUCAAUCUUGGCAAACUGGCUCUCUCGAAUAAAACGCUCCUUGUCGUUGUUUGAUUCAUAGUAAUAGAGGUUGAAAGUCUCUUUGCAAGUUCCCAUGACACCUGGCAGGCUGUUGCAGUCUCUCAGCGUGAACUUGAUUUCAAUAUAUACCCUCUGAGCCCCCUCGCGGGGAAUCCAAUCAGUUCGUAACCAAUUAUUCUGACUGGGCUCCAUCACAUUGCAAACUUGGUAGGUGCGGAUCGGAGUGUUCUUCUCAUCCAUUAUGCUCACUUCCUCCCACCCUCCUUCCAGCGGGCUCGCGAUCCAGCCCAGCUCCCCCUGCACCGAGCGGGAGUCCAGCAGGGUCACUUCGUUGGCGGGGUACACGCGGGAGCCGGUGACGGCCCCGCAGACGCCGACGAGGAGCGGGAGGAGCGCGCCGACGGGGACCCCGGCCAUGCCGCCCGGCCGCGCCAUCCCAGUGGAAUAACGCCCGCAUGGGCGCGCGGGCAUAGGCAUUGCCAAGGGGGCGGGCCGAGCCGCCGCCCCGCCGCCAAUCGCCGCCCGCCCCGCGCCGCCGGACCCGCCCCGUCCCGCCCCUGAGCGCGGCGGCCGAAGCGAGCGGCGGGGCCGGGAGCGGUGCGGCCCGAGGGGCCUCCGGGCGGCGAGAGCGAAGGAAGGAGGAAAAGCGCGCGGACGGACGAGCAAAUAAAUAAAUGAGUAAAGGAAGAGCGAAAAGUCGCGCGGAGCCCCCGCCCUCUCCCGGCACCACGCAGCGCCCGGGAACCGCCGGCACCGGGCAGAGAGCGGCCCCGCAGCGCCCCGCGCCGCCCCACCGCUGGGCAACAGCGCCACCUGGCGGCCGCGCCGAGCGCCCCGGCGGCCUCGCUGCCCCGCGCCGGAGCGCCGCGCGCCUGGGGCCGCGCCGGGCACCCCCCGCACCCUCUGCGGUAACGUCGCUACCGUUACUUUGCUGCCUCAAAGAGGUACUGCUUUAAUGUAGGUGAGCUCCGGCAGCGCGCUCUCCGCCUGCCCGUAGCACGGCUCUCACACCCGCCGCUACCGAUGGGGCUCCUCCGGGCCGGGGCUCGGCCGCCCCCCUCCCCGUGAGCGCCUCUCAGGGGGCAGCUCCGGGCGGAACCGGGAGGAGCGGGGAGCGACGCCGACGUCUGGGCCCGCACGCGAACGUUCGGAGCGCCUGUUGGGGCGGGGGACUGAAGCAGCACGGCCGUGCCAUUGUUAAACUCCGCGCUUCCUGACUUUAAUUACCGAUGCGAAUUCUUAGCCUAAUGAGGAGGAAGAGAAGGAAUUGUUCCGUUAUUAUUCCACCCUGAAGCGGGCAGCGCUCGGUUCCAGCGAUGUGAGCCUCCCACCUUCACGGUGGGGCAAAUGGUGCGGGGCUGCCGGAGUGGCAGAAGCCCGGGUCGUUUCCAUUGCAAUGACAGAAACGUCAGCUGUCGUAAAAAACGGCAUCGUUUGAAACCUCUAAAAUAUUCCAAGUAUAUCGAUGCCAUUUUAAUUGCGUAAUUUUUUCGGAUAAAAUAAACGUAGACAAUAUAAAACGGGUUUGUGAAUGUAACAGCUGAAAUGGUCCCAGUUGAACCAAAUCCACUGCACUUUGGCUGUUAGCAGGGUGUGAAAGAAGCCGUGCCAAAACAAUCGCUGCUUCCUCACUCGGGGUCACCUCAGCACACACAGCCCACACGGCCAUGCCAGCUGCAGCAGCACUUGGACUGACCCUGCCCACAGCCCACUGCCCACUGCCCACUGCCCACAGCCCACAGCCCACUGCCCACUGCCCACAGCACACGCUGCAUCCAGCCGUGGCCGUGCUUGGCAGCUGAUCACAGAAAGAUCACUGUUCCCCCCCCAUUCACCAUUUGUUUUCUGUUCGUUCUGAAGCUCUGGUGAGCACUGUGGUACCCACGCAGCAUCCCGCCGGCAGGUGCGGUGUGCUCAGAGCACGGUCCCACAGCAAGCAGCGUUCCUAGCACGGCUCUGGGGCAUCACGCAGCUCUGCACAAGGAGCCGCUCUGCACCCUGCCCAGCCACGAAUGCAGCACGCUCAGCCUGGCACCUUCCUGCCCCAGCGGGAUGCGGGGCUGCUGCACACUGCCC
rnacentral:lncRNA from 1 species